CAGAUAGAGGCGCGGUGUUCAUCAGUAUCGUCUGUCAGGGGCCGCAACCCCGUUGACCAUUCGAAAAAGGGGACUCCGCCGAAGGCGCGGCCCAUUGCGGGAUGCCCUGCCUGGACGGUUUGGAGAACAUCCCAUCGUCUGUCAUCAGCAUGUCUCAUGCCGGUGGAGCGCUAUCA
rnacentral:ncRNA from 1 species